UGCAAGUCGAACGAAGCUCUGCGAUACAAGACUUCGGUCAAGUUGAACGGAUGACUUAGUGGCGGACGGGUGAGUAACGCGUGAGGAACCUGCCUUUCAGUGGGGGACAACAGUUGGAAACGACUGCUAAUACCGCAUAAUGUAUUCUGACCGCAUGAUCGGAAUACCAAAGAUUUAUUGCUGAAAGAUGGCCUCGCGUCUGAUUAGAUAGUUGGUGAGGUAACGGCCCACCAAGUCGACGAUCAGUAGCCGGACUGAGAGGUUGAACGGCCACAUUGGGACUGAGAUACGGCCCAGACUCCUACGGGAGGCAGCAGUGGGGAAUAUUGGGCAAUGGGGGAAACCCUGACCCAGCAACGCCGCGUGAAGGAAGAAGGCUUUCGGGUUGUAAACUUCUUUUACCAGGGACGAAGGACGUGACGGUACCUGGAGAAAAAGCCACGGCUAACUACGUGCCAGCAGCCGCGGUAAUACGUAGGUGGCAAGCGUUGUCCGGAUUUACUGGGUGUAAAGGGCGUGUAGGCGGAGAAGCAAGUCAGAAGUGAAAUCCAUGGGCUUAACCCAUGAACUGCUUUUGAAACUGUUUCCCUUGAGUAUCGGA
rnacentral:rRNA from 1 species